rnacentral:tRNA from 1 species
GGGUAAAUAGCUGAGUUGGUUAUAGCAUCCGGCUCAUAUCCGGAAGGUCUGUGGUUCGAAUCCACAUUUGCCCA